AGCCCGCCAUGCCUGAGCUUCCCCCCGCCCCCGCCGUGGGCUCCUGUGCGGCCCGAGCCUCCCCGACGAGCGCCGCCCCCUGCUCCACGAUGCCCAGUCCCAUCGACCACCCAAGGGCUGAGGAGUGCGGGCUCACGGUUACAGGAUUCCCAUUUCAGAACUACGACCAUUUGAAAAAUAGAAGAUUUAAAGAUUGACGCAAAGUGCAUGUACCAUGAUACACCAGGUCUCAUCUCCUGAAUAUUUGUCCUGCCCUGAGUUUUCACCUGAGGCCACCUGUACAACUGACUAGAGUAGUUCCACUGAUUGCUAAAAUGGAACAGGCAGGAUUGGUAUUGACUGUCCAAGAGCAAAGUCAGAUACAGAGAUUCAUUGAUGGUAGGACAGAACACACUGGUGCUUGAAGAGAUGAAAGGAAGAAGUCUUUGCUGCUUACAGCUGCAAGUGAGAGAAGGCUGCCAGGUAGGGUCACACAAGG
rnacentral:lncRNA from 1 species